rnacentral:tRNA from 1 species
GUAAAGGUGGCUGAAGAUAGGUGGUGGGUUGUAAUUCCAUUUAUGGGGUAAAAUCCCCCCUUUACA